UCUCACUCUCAGACCACUAUUCACUCUCUCAAAAAAAAGACAAUCUCUCAAUUUCCUCUCAACUCUGAGCUCACACAAUCCCCUUCCUCUCUCGCCCCAAAUCUCUCACUCUCAAUUCUCAGCUGAAACUCUCACCGACAAACCCUCCUCUCUAAAAUCCGCCGCCACCACCUUCUACCACCACUAAACACUCACCAACCGUCAACCCUCCGAAUCCUUCAUCAUCUUCGUCAUCGCAACUCAACCGUUCACCGCCACCCAAAACCCCUACCGUCGCGGCGACUUCCACCUUCAAACCCUUAAACCACCUUCGAAACACCGUCAAAACCGCCGUCGCUCUCACCGGCAAACUCUCUCCAUCUACCUUCAAAUCGCGCCCUCACCGACAAACCCACACGAAACCUACUCAUCUCACAAUCUCCAAGCCGUCACCAUCCAUCAUCGCUUCCGUCCACAAUCGCGACCCAUCUUCACCGCUAAAACCUAAUCUCUAAAUCCGCCGUCAUCACCGUACCGAAGCCGUCGGUGACUUGUCAGUUCGCAACUAUCUUCGACCUUCAUCAACAGUUUGGGAUUGUGUUGUGUAAUUUUUCUGUUUUUUCAGGGAAAGUCUGAAGCUUUAGAGCCAUGGGUCCAGCACCGGUGACGAUUACAACUAGCCUCUGUUGAUAGCUUCAAAAGGAUUUUCUUAUGAUUCUGGAAACGGUUUCAAGUCGCGCUGAUUCCUCUUCUUCCGCAACAACCACAAAGACCGUUAUUACUCUACCACUCUCAGCACGGCGUCGAAACCGCUUCUUGUCCACAUUAAAGCAAGCCGGGCAGAUUGUUGAAACACCAUGGAUACGGGGAUUGGGUGGAAGAUCUCAGGCUGUUGCUGAUGAUGUACUCCUGAAAUAAGCUCUUGACAACUAUCCGUCUGUACGGUAACAGAUCGAUUUAAGCUUAUUUUAGAAUUAUGAUUGUUUCAUGACAGUAUUUGAUAUCUCUGGAUAAUGUGUGUGUUUGUGAUUUUUAUCUUCCGAUUCGUUCUGGUGGUAGAUGGUAUCAACAUAUUUUAUGCUGAAAAUUUCGUUGAGGAUUGUAAAUUUUUUCUCUGAAUAUUGUUACUCUGUGUCGUUACUGUUUCGUUUUGUGUUGAUACUACAAUAGCCCUGUAUAUAAUCACAAUUUGCGGUGACAUACUUUGAUACCAUUUUUAUUGUACAUAUUCAACUCUUGAUUAUGACUUGUUUUAGCUAUAUCAAAAGGAUUUGUUUUGUAUUGCCUGUGAAGUUUAUAGUUGCUUGUAGUAUCUCGUUCAUUUUUCAUUUGAAUUGAGAUUUGGAUUAUGAAUACCAACGUGCUUGCUUAUACACAACUUAUGCGACUUUCAGUUUGGAUUAUAUUUGGGAAGAUAUUUUAAGUGGGAACUGUAUUAAAAUUCUGCUCUUGAAUUAUUAGAUUAGUUUGUGGAUGGAUCACUAUUGUUGGUGCAAAUGAGUUAUUAGCCCACGGCAUUAUCAGAAUUCUAAUAAUCUCAUGAUUGGUUUACAACGAUUUUCUCAAAUGCAUGUUGUUUUUAUUGCUGAAAUUUAAAUUGGAUUAUCAAUUGCCUAAUGGACUUUAUAGUGUAUAUAUAAGUCUACUUUAAUCAUAAGGCAUNAGUUCCUUCCUUGAAAACACAAACUUUAGAACCUACCCUUGGGAAUUUCUAGUAAUCAGAAAAACCCGUAUUUCUUCCUGUUAUCCUGACGUACCCGACGUGUGAAUAAUCUUAAGUCUGUAUUCCUUUGCAAAAAACAUGGCAAAAUUUCAUGCAUUUGCAUAUCAUCAACAUGCAUUGCAUAUCAUCUCCCAGAAACAAAAUCUCACACCAUGUUCUGCCCUUUGUCCAGUAAACGCUGACUACUCGACACCGGUACGAGACACGCCGCAAUUACAAGAUGACACUUGAACAGCUUGAAGCUAACCAAGUUUCGAUGAGGACCGACAUUGACUCCAUGCAGGCAAAGAUGGAUCGCUUGCUUGAGACCAUGUUACUCUUGGCUCAGAAGGAGAAGGAUGCUGAGACUAACGCCGAAGCCAGGAAAAUUGCUGCCCAAUUUGGAUCACCAUCGCUCAGUAUCCCUGGAGUGAUUGACCUUGAUGGUAACCCUAAUCAGCCUAGAGAAGGACCGAUCCCUAUUCCGAUCCCAAUGGACAAUAUAAAACCCCACGAGCAUUCUACUGUAUCUGCUCGACACGGAUCUGUGAUAUGUGAUGAAGAUCCAUAUGACGCUUUCUUCAUGCCACAGCCCGUCCAGCCUGCUGUUGGAGGUCUCCCAGACCCAGCUGUUGACAGACUCCAUGCGUUGGAGGAAAAGUUUAAGUCCUUGGAGGUUCACACUACUCCCGGUUUGGACGCCGUCGAUAUGUGCUUGGUGCCAGGCCUUGUGAUUCCACAGAAGUUCAAAGUCCCGGACUUUGACAAGUACAAAGGGAUCAGCUGCCCAAGAACACACCUCAGAGCUUACUGCCGCAAAAUGGCCGCCCACAUCAGUAAUGAUCAACUCCUGAUUCAUUACUUCCAAGAUAGUCUCAGUGGGGCAUCUUUGGAGUGGUACAUGCAACUGGAGAGAGGACAGGUCCAAUCAUGGAGAGACCUUGCUGAAGCAUUCCUCAGGCAUUAUCAGUACAACACUGAUCUAGCACCCAAUCGCACCCAACUGCAAGACAUGACUCAACGCAACAAUGAGUCAUUCAAAGAAUACGCCCAGCGGUGGAGAGAGCUAGCAGCUCGUGUUCAACCUCCUCUCUUUGACAAAGAGCUAAUUGACAUGUUUAUGGGAACCCUACACACCCAGUACAUGGAGAAGAUGGUAGGAUCCAGUUUCCCAACUUUUGCUGAGGUCGUCUCCGUGGGAGAACGAAUCGAGAGCCAGAUCAAGAAGGGGAAACUACCUUGCGCUGCUAAUGCUUCAAGUGGGAUGAAGAAACCUUAUCCUAAUCUCCCAAAGAAGCCAGAAGGUCAAACCAAUUCCAUAAUGGGAGGAGGAGGAUAUAGGGCACGCCCGUAUGCUCCUAUGCCUUAUAAUCAGGUUGCCGCUGUCGUCCCGACACCAUAUCAGCCUCCAUAUCAGCAACCCCAUCAACAACAAUAUCAACAGCCUUAUCAACAAACAGCUUAUCAGCAUCAGAAUCAACAUCGACGUGCUCCACAACCACGUCCCCCCAAUCAGCAGAGGGCAAGGAGGCCAGAAAGGCAUUUCGAUCCUUUGCCAGUAUCAUAUAGCAAGAUCCUCCCCUACCUGCUAAAGGAUGGAUCGGUCGUUCUGAAGGAGAUAACACCUGUAACUCCACCAUAUCCUCCAGGCUACGACGCCAAUGCUCACUGUGAGUAUCACAUGGGUGCUCCAGGGCACACAAUAGAGAACUGUAAGGCUUUCAAGCACAAGGUUCAAGAUUUGGUUGACAGUAAAGCACUUACAUUCACGCCAGUGAGGCCAAACGUUGCAACAAACCCCAUGCCGGCGCAUGCAGAAUCAAGUGAAGCUCGAAGGUAAAGCUUCCCACCGGCCUAAACAAGCAGAGCAAUUCCGCUGAAGAACCCAGAGAUGAAGGCUUGUUCAUUUGAAUGAAGGCAAUCCUGAUGCCAUUUUUACCAUUUUGCAUUCUUGUAAUUUGAUCUUGUUUGUCUAAGUACUGUACGCUUUAAACAUUGUUAUUUGUAUUUGGUUUUGUUAAUGGGAUGGUUAUGCAUGCUUUGAAUCAAUCUUUCNGGAUGAAACCCUGCUGAUGAUGUACAGGCAUUGUUUCAAAUCCCCAAACACUGGAGAGAUAAGGAGUUAAUCCCUAGUCAACCACUUCGAGCCUAGAAGUAGGAGUUUCUUUCAGAUCUAAAAAACCUUUACGCUUAACCUGGGGCAGGGUAGUGUUCAGUUAACCUGACUACACAUACAAAUUACAAAGGUGAAGUAUCCCAUACGAGGAUCAACCAUAUGACACUCUUCACACACAUCAUGAAGUGUCGAAGGAACCAUACAAAUCCAGAAUCUAUGUCGGUUGUUCUUCAAUGACCAAUGUCCUGGCAGUCACAAUUAAAAAAAAGGUCGAAGAAAGAGCCCGCUAAGUCGAACACCCUAAAAGGAGACUUAGGCAAAAAACAGGGGCAAUCCCGAUGGAUUAAAGCUUCAAACAAAGCGGUCCAUGCAAAAGUUAGGGAUCAAAACAAAAAAUCGAAAGAGACAAUGAAAGUCCUCAACAAAAGCAAAACAAGAUUCAGUGACCACCAUACCAAAAUCAAAGGGUCGCCGACAUCCAAAAAAACGAAAUAAGGUGGCUGCCAUUCCAAGGGACUUUGAACCACCAUCUUUAUCCUUACACAUGCAAGAGAAGAAUGUGUGUGAAUUAACUGAACAUAGGAUUGGAGAUCAUCAUGAAGAAGGGGUGGGUUAAAAUAAACUUUGAGCCUUAUAUCCUUUUGUUUCAAAACCAUCGACCAACACAGCAACGCCUCAAAAGACCAAGUUGAGUAGUGGUUUAUUCUGAAAGCAUACAUACAAGUUAGUAACUGACUCCUAAAUAUUUUCCAAUAUUCUCCUCUCACUAUAUCACUCACACACUAGCUAAAUCAAGCACCGCGUUUGGACACAUGAUCCACUCGCCACACACUACCACAACACUUCCCAAAUGAAUGAUUAUUUUUCAAAACUUGCAUAACUGUUGCAUUAACAUCACCAUUUCGUAGAUAACAAUUCUUAAUUGUCAGUCAGUGCUUGACAUCGGAAAAUUCCAACAAGGAGUAAUUCAACGGGCACUUGAUUGUUGGUGCUGACACGAAUCCAGACCAUCCUGUGAAUCAGGGGCAUGGCAUCUUUUGAUCAUAUUGACCUAAGAAGUAGUCUGUGUAAGACAAAUCUCCAAGCAUCGGUUGAUCAGGGAGAAAAACACUUCAGUACUCGGCCCGUCUGAAGCAGGUCCCUCAAAGGCUAAUCAGGGGCAGACCAUAGCCAGAUUUGGACAUCAGGAAACAAACUCAGACCAUGUCAUGGGAUAAUCACUCCUAAGGUUUCUUGCAGGGAGAAUUCCUUUGAACACCCUACAAACAGGGGCAAGACAAGUUGCAAGGGGCAAAAUUCCCUUCAUAUCUUCAAGACAGUCAGGCAGAUUGCGUCAAACAUUAGUGACUGCUUGAAUUCACAACCAAAAUGUCAAAAGUUCGUACCAGUACAACAUCAUGCCUUGACAAGAAUCCUUGAGGCACGUCAAAAGCACAAUCAUCAUGCGCUGAUCACGUCGCUAUGCUCAGUUACAAGCUGGCCAAACACUUCAGAAGAAGAAACCAAGAUCUUCUCAAAGACAAAUACUCAACAUAUCAGCAAGAGAUCAAACCUGGGGCACCAAGAGUAUCCACAUCCAUUUCGUGUUCAUCAUAUCAUCAACUACUGAGUGUCGGGAAUGUCAGAUCCUUUCACCAAUCAAUAGCAUAUCCACAUUGACAAUUACCAAAAAAACCUAAAGCCCACAUUGUUGGCACCCACAUAAAACCAAAUAUAACCAACUUUGGUUUCCAGAAGAUGCAUUGCCUUUGAAAGGGGGGCCAAUCCCAAACAAACCAAUCAUUCUUUGCAUACAAACAUGCAUUUCAUGCAUCAUAUGCAUCACCUCAUACAUAAUACAUACAUAUCAUUCAUGUACAUAACACAAAUCAAGAUCCAAGGUUUAGUCGUAGGCAUACAGGCCAACCCUCAGUUGAGUCGUUAUUUUUCUCUGAGUGAGUUCCUACCCUACUAUCGGGCGUUCCCCAUUGAGUUACAUCCUUCAACCUUUUGUUGAUAAGAUGUUAUCCUCAGCUUAGUCAAACAAUGUUUCUUUAAACACCUAUUUUUUUUUUCACGUUGAGCGUCCCUCAAUGAGUCGUUUCCCAUAACCUUUUGUUGACAGAAAUUACAUCUCCCCAGAGAACAUUGGCUCUGCAACCUUUUGUUGUUGAUACCCCCAAGCAAGUCUUACCCAAUAAUGUCCCAAUACUACCCAACAAAUCGGGUUUACUGGACUUUGACAGUAGCCUUAUUUUUCCAAUAUUUUUCUCACUACCAUCCUUUUGGUGAAAGUCCAUGGAGGAAUAAUACCAGUCAUCACCUUGUUUAUGAUCACCGUUAUCCUUUUGGUAAUGGUAAAUUCUUGACAUUUGUGAUCUUACUGUCAUCCUUUUGGUGUCGAAGAUCAUUGAAGUUUUAAGCUAACCUUCAUCCUUUUGAAUCACCUUGUUUAUGAUCACCGUUAUCCUUUUGGUAAUGGUAAAUUCUUGACAUUUGUGAUCUUACUGUCAUCCUUUUGGUGUCGAAGAUCAUUGAAGUUUUAAGCUAACCUUCAUCCUUUUGGUGAUGGUGACCUCUGCAAUUAUUACACCCCACUGUCAUCCUUUUGGUGUCAGUAAUAUUUGAAGUCAUUAUAACUUAUUAUCAUCCUUUUGGUGGUAACGAGUUUCGAAGUUAUGAUUCCACCUUCAUCCUUUUGGUGAUGGUGAUUGUUGAUUCAUUAUCAUCCUUUUGGUGAUAACGAGUUCUGUUGUUUGUAGCGCCUUCAUCCUUUUGGUGAUGGUGACUAUUGACUUAUUAUCAUCCUUUUGGUGGUAACAAGUUUUGUCGUUUUAACAAUACCUUCAUCCUUUUGGUGAUGGUGAGUGUUGACUUCUUAUCAUCCUUUUGGUGAUAACAAGUUUGUGUCUUGAUCUUACCUUCAUCCUUUUGGUGAUGGCGAUCAUUUGUGUUGUCAGCUUAUUAUCAUCCUUUUGGUGGUAACUAAGUUUUGUCGUUUGACAAAUACCUUCAUCCUUUUGGUGAUGGUGAUUGUUGACUUCUUAUCAUCCUUUUGGUGAUAACAAGUUUGUGUUUUGAUCUUACCUUCAUCCUUUUGGUGAUGGUGAUCAUUUGCGUGUGUGCUUCUUAUCAUCCUUUUGGUGGUAACAAGUUUUAUCUUUUGAUUAUACCUUCAUCCUUUUGGUGAUGGUGGUUAUCAUCCUUUUGGUGAUAACAAGUUUGUGUCUUGAUCCUACCUUCAUCCUUUUGGUGAUGGUGAUCAAUUGUGUUGUGUUCUUAUUAUCAUCCUUUUGGUGAUAACAAGUUUGUGUCCUGAUUAUACCUUCAUCCUUUUGGUGAUGGUGAUUAUUGAAGUUAUCUGACUUAUUAUCAUCCUUUUGGUGAUAACAAGCUUUGUUGUUGGAUCUUACCUUCAUCCUUUUGGUGACGGUGAUCUUUGAAGUUUAUGAGUUAACUAUCAUCCUUUUGGUGAUAGCCUUGAUCCUAUACUCUCAGUAAUGGAAAAAUUUACCAGAAUGACCAUCAUCCUUUUGGUGAUAGAAAUCUGUGAAUUGUGUCUAACUUUCAUCCUUUAGGUGAUAGCGAGAUUUGUUGUUGAUCUGACCAUCAUCCUUUUGGUGAUGGCGAUCUUUGUUGCACCCACUGUAACCAUUAUCCUUUUGGUGAUGACUACCUUAAAAGCUCAGCUUAUCCAUCAUCCUUUUGGUGAUGACAAUCCUCAAAAUCAUGGUGAAUCUCUGUCAUCCUUUUGGUGUCAGAAAACCAGUCCCACCUUUGUCUUCACAUCAGAAAUAACCUGUGCCAGAUUUGAAUGUUGACUCGAGGGUUGGCAUUGAUCGAACAUCCUACCCCCAUUACCUUGGCAUCCAUUGCAUUUUCAUCUGCAUCUCUCCAUUGCAUUUCAAAGGACAAAAUUUGGAUCCUUUAGUAUUUAAUUACCUUCCACCACGAAUGUAUGAUGACCUUUAUCAUUCUUACUUUCUAGUUCAAGAUAAUUAAAUAGGGGCAGCUGUCGUACCCCAAUUUUGUCCGGGCAUUUUUAAUUUUUUCAAAAUUAAUUUCAGUUUCAUUUUUGCAUCAUACGCAUAGCAUGACAUACAUUUGCAUCAUGAAUAAACACCUAAAAUGUCAGUCAGAAGGAAUUUAUUUGAGAAUACAGAAAAAAUCGGUUGAAUCGUUAAAAUUUGAGAAAAGACUGUAUUUUUAAUAAGUAGGUUUUGUGCUGACAAUUUUAAUGUGACUGGUUUAUUUAUUAUUAUUAUUUUUUUUAUUUUUUUAUUUUCUUUCUUUUUUCGAAUUAAAUUUGUACUCGAUUUUUUUUAAUUGGUCAAAUAUUAGUUAGAGUUUUUUUUUAAAUAUUAUUUAAUUAAAUAUUAGUUAAUGUUUUUUAUAUUAAUUAGUUUUUUUAUAUUAGUUAGAUUUUUUCUAAAAUAGUAGUUAAUUUUAGUUUUUAAAUAUUAAUUAGUUUGUUUAGUUAGAUUUUGUAAAAUAUUAGUUAGAGUAUUUUUUUUUUAAUAUUAAUUAGUUUUUCUAAAUAUUAGUUAGUUUUUAAAUAUUAGUUAGAUUUUUCUUUUUAAUAUUAAUUAGUUUUUUUUAGUGUUAAUUAGUUUAAGAGUUAGUUAGCUUUUUUAUUAGUUAAUUUUUAAAUAGUAGUUAGUUAGAGUUUUUAAAAUAUUAAUUAGUUUUUUUAUUUUUUAUGAAUAUAUGUAUUUUACAUUGGAUUCCAAUCCAUAAAAAAACAAAAAAAACAAAAUCUCCCAACGUCUCUCUCCAUCCACUCCCAACAGACCCUGCUCCACUACCUCUCCUCUCUCUCGUACCAGAAAAGACAAAAAAAGAAAAUAGAUAAAUGGGAACGUUACUCUCUCACUCUCAGACCACUAUUCACUCUCUCAAAAAAAAGACAAUCUCUCAAUUUCCUCUCAACUCUGAGCUCACACAAUCCCCUUCCUCUCUCGCCCCAAAUCUCUCACUCUCAAUUCUCAGCUGAAACUCUCACCGACAAACCCUCCUCUCUAAAAUCCGCCGCCACCACCUUCUACCACCACUAAACACUCACCAACCGUCAACCCUCCGAAUCCUUCAUCAUCUUCGUCAUCGCAACUCAACCGUUCACCGCCACCCAAAACCCCUACCGUCGCGGCGACUUCCACCUUCAAACCCUUAAACCACCUUCGAAACACCGUCAAAACCGCCGUCGCUCUCACCGGCAAACUCUCUCCAUCUACCUUCAAAUCGCGCCCUCACCGACAAACCCACACGAAACCUACUCAUCUCACAAUCUCCAAGCCGUCACCAUCCAUCAUCGCUUCCGUCCACAAUCGCGACCCAUCUUCACCGCUAAAACCUAAUCUCUAAAUCCGCCGUCAUCACCGUACCGAAGCCGUCGGUGACUUGUCAGUUCGCAACUAUCUUCGACCUUCAUCAACAGUUUGGGAUUGUGUUGUGUAAUUUUUCUGUUUUUUCAGGGAAAGUCUGAAGCUUUAGAGCCAUGGGUCCAGCACCGGUGACGAUUACAACUAGCCUCUGUUGAUAGCUUCAAAAGGAUUUUCUU
rnacentral:lncRNA from 1 species